rnacentral:rRNA from 1 species
GAUGAACGCUGGCGGCGUGCUUAACACAUGCAAGUCGAACGAGAAGUGAAGACGGAAACCUUCGGGCGGAAGGCUUUAUUUCGAGUGGCGGACGGGUGAGUAACGCGUGGGUAACCUGCCUCAUACAGGGGGAUAACAGUUGGAAACGACUGUUAAUACCGCAUAAGACCACAGCACCGCAUGGUGCGGGGGUAAAAACUCCGGUGGUAUGAGAUGGACCCGCGUUCGAUUAGCCAGUUGGCGGGGUAACGGCCCACCAAAGCGACGAUCGAUAGCCGAUCUGAGAGGAUGACCGGCCACAUUGGGACUGAGACACGGCCCAAACUCCUACGGGAGGCAGCAGUGGGGAAUAAUGCACAAUGGGGGAAACCCUGAUGCAGCGACGCCGCGUGAGUGAAGAAGUAUUUCGGUAUGUAAAGCUCUAUCAGCAGGGAAGAAAAUGACGGUACCUGAGUAAGAAGCCCCGGCUAACUACGUG